UACGUAGGGUGCGAGCGUUGUCCGGAAUUACUGGCGUAAAGAGCUCGUAGGCGGUUUGUCGCGUCGUCCGUGAAAACUUGGGGCUCAACCCCAAGCUUGCGGGCGAUACGGGCAGACUUGAGUACUGCAGGGGAGAUUGGAAUUCCAGGUGUAGCGGUGAAAUGCGUAGAUAUCUGGAGGAACACCGGUGGCGAAGGCGGCAUCCUGGACCGAUACUGACGCUGAGGAGCGAAAGCCAGGGGAGCAAAGCGGG
rnacentral:rRNA from 1 species